CAGUCGCCGCGGGAAUACGAAGGGGGCUAGCGUUGUUCGGAAUUACUGGGCGUAAAGGGCGCGUAGGCGGCCAUUCAAGUUAGAUGUGAAAGCCCUGGGCUCAACCUAGGAAUUGCAUUUGAUACUGUUUGGCUUGAGUUCGGUAGAGGUGAGUGGAAUUCCCAGUGUAGAGGUGAAAUUCGUAGAUAUUGGGAAGAACACCAGUGGCGAAGGCGGCUCACUGGACCGACACUGACGCUGAGGCGCGAAAGCGUGGGGAGCAAACAGGAUUAGAGACCCCAGUAGUCCCUGUCUCUUAUAC
rnacentral:rRNA from 1 species